rfam:Triticum aestivum genome assembly, contig: Triticum_aestivum_CS42_TGACv1_scaffold_485374_6AS
UGUGUACUCCCUCCGUUCCAAAAUACUUGACUUCCAUUUGUCCAAAAAUGGAUGUACCUAUAUACUCAAACAUGUCUAGAUACAUAUAUAUUUUGACAAAUAGAAGGCAUGUAUUGUGCAAUGGAGGGAGUAGAAU